GUCUGGUCCGAGUGUAGCGUUUACAACUAAUUGAUCACAAGCAGUUACAGAUCUCUUUGUUCCUUCUCCGCUUCCACUGCUUCACUCGACUUGCCUAAA
rnacentral:Y_RNA from 1 species